AGAAGGGAGAAGAAGACCCCAAAUGAGCCAGUGUGUGUGGAAGUUGACUUCUGAAACACUCCAGCUUUAGGAGAGAAAACCUCAGCUGCACUCGGACUGUUUUUCGCUGGGACUCAGAAUAAUGCUGCUUUGGACCACUCUGUACAAGGCGGCCACUGAUCACUACAAUCAGCUCUCCUGUCCAGGUCAAAUGGAUCCAGCUGUCAGCACAAAGUAUCCUCCGUGGACAAGUGUGUUGAGUGUCUGGGACUUGUAUCUUCCUACAAGUGGCUUGGCUAUGUAUGCAAAGGUGAGAU